rnacentral:lncRNA from 1 species
CACGAGGGUAAGCAAUAGCCAUAAGUGAAAGAAAAAGGAAACUAAACAUUCACAAGUAAUAUGAUUCAUUUUAGAUCAUAUACAUUGCAUCCAUCUCUUACAUUUAUCAAAUUCUUACAUUCAUUACAUCAUUUCAUCAUUUCUUCCUACAUCACAUUUACCUCAAAUAAGCUUUACAUUCUUUCUUUACGUCAUUAAUCAUCAAAUACAAAAGAUGAUCAUAAGGUACUUUACUACAAAAUGAAACCCAACAUUGGUGGCCUCUGGCUAAGGCGCGAUACCUUUACCUCGGUCGCUCGCCGGCUCGCUCGGUCCCGGC